GCUAAGUCGGUGUCAGCAGCCGGGGUAAGACAUAUGGUGCGGUCGUUAAUCGUAUGUACUGGGCGUAAAGCGCGCGGAGGUGGUGAAUUAAGUCAAAUGUGAAAUCCCCGAGCUUAACUUUGGAAUUGCAUUCGAUACUGGUGAGCUAGAGUAUGGGAGAGGAUGGUAGAAUUCCAGGUGUAGCGGUGAAAUGCGUAGAGAUCUGGAGGAAUACCGAUGGCGAAGGCAGCCAUCUGGCCUAAUACUGACACUGAGGUGCGAAAGCAUGGGGAGCAAACAGGAUUAGAUACCCCAGUAGUC
rnacentral:rRNA from 1 species